UACGGGGGGAGCAAGCGUUGUUCGGAUUUACUGGGCGUAAAGGGCGCGUAGGCGGUCAGCACAAGUCAGUUGUGAAAUCUCCGAGCUUAACUCGGAAAGGUCAACUGAUACUGUGCGACUAGAGUGCAGAAGGGGCAACUGGAAUUCUUGGUGUAGCGGUGAAAUGCGUAGAUAUCAAGAGGAACACCUGCGGCGAAGGCGGCAUCCUGGACCGACACUGACACUGAGGAGCGAAAGCCAGGGGAGCAAACGGG
rnacentral:rRNA from 1 species